rnacentral:rRNA from 1 species
AUUGAACGCUGGCGGCAGGCCUAACACAUGCAAGUCGAGCGGAUGAAGGGAGCUUGCUCCUGGAUUCAGCGGCGGACGGGUGAGUAAUGCCUAGGAACCUGUCUGGUAGUGGGGGAUAACGCCCGGAAACGGGCGCUAAUACCGCAUACGUCCUGAGGGAGAAAGUGGGGGAUCUUCGGACCUCACGCUAUCAGAUGAGCCUAGGUCGGAUUAGCUAGUUGGUGGGGUAAAGGCCUACCAAGGCGACGAUCCGUAACUGGUCUGAGAGGAUGAUCAGUCACACUGGAACUGAGACACGGUCCAGACUCCUACGGGAGGCAGCAGUGGGGAAUAUUGGACAAUGGGCGAAAGCCUGAUCCAGCCAUGCCGCGUGUGUGAAGAAGGUCUUCGGAUUGUAAAGCACUUUAAGUUGGGAGGAAGGGCAGUAAGUUAAUACCUUGCUGUUUUGACGUUACCGGCAGAAUAAGCACCGGCUAACUUCGUG